rnacentral:rRNA from 1 species
CCUACGGGGGACAGCAGUGAGGAAUAUUGGUCAAUGGGCUUACGCCUGAACCAGCCAAGUCGCGUGAGGGAAGACUGCCCUAUGGGUUGUAAACCUCUUUUGUCAGGGAGCAAUUGGCGCUACGUGUAGCGUUAUCGAGAGUACCUGAAGAAAAAGCAUCGGCUAACUCCGUGCCAGCAGCCGCGGUAAUACGGAGGAUGCGAGCGUUAUCCGGAUUUAUUGGGUUUAAAGGGUGCGUAGGCGGAAUGCCAAGUCAGCGGUAAAAUCGCGGGGCUCAACCUCGCUCCGCCGUUGAAACUGGCGUGCUUGAGUGGGCGAGAAGUAUGCGGAAUGCGUGGUGUAGCGGUGAAAUGCAUAGAUAUCACGCAGAACUCCGAUUGUGAAGGCAGCAUACCGGCGCCCAACUGACGCUGAAGCACGAAAGCGUGGGUAUCGAACAGGAUUAGAUACCCCGGUAGUC